AGGUCUCGCUGAGCUUGUUGGUGAAAAGAGGCUCAGGAAGGUCCCGGAAGAACUGCUUCACCAUAUCUGCCACGUCGUAAGCGGAUUGGUCGUCAUAGCUGACGUUCUCAGGAAAGCUCUCGUUCAUUUGACGUAAGGCAUGGAUUCGAGACUUCACGCCUGAUUUUCGAAAAAGACCCACCUGAAACAAGACACAUUUGGAAUGUCUAGAAAAUGCAAAACAUUGCCAAGAAGAAUCUAAAGAGCAUUUCUCUUCCUCUGGCAACUACUCCAAGUUUCAUCAAAGGGCAUGAGAAGAAAGCAUGUCCUGUCAAAAGAAAAGUUCAAGAUGUCAAAUGAGUGAUUAUCGAAGUGAGAUCCAGCCUUGAUGUGUUUACAUCUCAACUCUUCGGAUUCUGGAAGGAGGCCCGGGACCGUGCCUCAGGGCUGUGCUGCGCGGGAGUUCUCAGAAGCCAAGUGCCCCAGAGCCUGACUGCCUUCCCUGGAAACUGACAGAGAGCUACAACUAAAGCAAUGCUUCCUGCAGGCUACAUCACAUCGAAGCUUUGGAUCGAAGCUUUGGCAGCCCAGAGGCGGGCAGUUAGGCAGAACUCUGGGCAUUAUUUUCAGGAGAUUGGCAGUGAAGGCAAU